rnacentral:rRNA from 1 species
UACAGAGGGUGCGAGCGUUGUCCGGAAUUAUUGGGCGUAAAGGGCGCGUAGGCGGUGCCACAAGUCACCUGUGAAAUCUCCUGGCUCAACUGGGAGCUUGCAGGCGAAACUGCCGUGCUGGAGUGUGGGAGAGGUGAGUGGAAUUCCCGGUGUAGCGGUGAAAUGCGUAGAUAUCAGGAGGAACACCGGUGGUGCAGACGGCUCUCUGGACCGCGACUGACGCUGAGACACGAAAGCGUGGGUAGCAAACAGG